UACGGGGGGGGCAAGCGUUGUUCGGAAUUACUGGGCGUAAAGGGCUCGUAGGCGGCCAACUAAGUCAGACGUGAAAUCCCUCGGCUUAACCGGGGAACUGCGUCUGAUACUGGAUGGCUAGAGUUUGGGAGAGGGAUGCGGAAUUCCAGGUGUAGCGGUGAAAUGCGUAGAUAUCUGGAGGAACACCGGUGGCGAAGGCGGCGUCCUGGACCAACACUGACACUGAGGAGCGAAAGCCAGGGGAGCAAACGGG
rnacentral:rRNA from 1 species